AUGAAGAAAAUACCCUACUCACAAGAAUGCGAACUAACAUGUUUUCACUUUCCCGACGUGGGCGCAGAGGUGAUCGACGCAGACUACCGCGACCCGAUGGGUGUCGUGCUCUUCAACAACUCGGAGGCGGACUUUGCUGUGAAGCCCGGCGACCGCGUCAUACAGAUGAUUGUCCAGGUGAUUGCGAUGCCGGAGGUCGCCGAGGUGGAGGACCUUGACAUCACCGUCUGGAGGUCGUCGAGGUGGAGGACCUCGACGCCACCGUCUCGAGGUUGCCGAGGUGGAGGACCUCGACGCCACCGUCCCGAGGUUGCCAAGGUGAAGGACCUUGACUCCUUGGUAGAUACAUCUAGAGAAGUGGUCAUGUUAGGUUGGUGGUGGAACGUUAGGGAAGGUACCUACCUUUCGGUGACGGUUGUGUGCGUCUGA
rnacentral:rRNA from 1 species